rnacentral:rRNA from 1 species
GGCUUGAAGAUUUUAAUUUUAAGUCGAUCUGCCCAAUGAUUCUAAUUUAAUGGCUGCAGUAUAAUUAACUGUACAAAGGUAGCAUAAUAAAUUGUUUUUUAAUUGAAAACUAGGAUGAAAGAAUUAAUGAGAUAUAUACUGUCUCAUAAAUAUUUAAUAAAUUUAAAUUUUUAGUAAAAAUGCUUAAAUAAUUUUAUGGGACGAUAAGACCCUAUAGAAUUUUAUAUUAGUAUUUUGUUGAUUAUUUUAUUAAGAUAUUAAUAUUUUAUUGGGAGGAUUGGUAAAUUUAAUAAACUUUAUUUAAUAAAUAAACUUUGAUUUAAGAAUAAUUAUUGAUCUUGUAUUAUGGAUUAAAAGAAUAAAUUACCUUAGGGAUAACAGCGUAAUAUCUUUUUAAAGACCAUAUUAAUAAAGAUGUUUGCGACCUCGAUGUUGAAUUAAGAUAAAUUUUAAAUGUAGAAGUUUAAAAAUUAAGUCUGUUCGACUUUUAAAAUCUUACAUGAUUUGAGUUCAAAUCGACGUGAGU